CGUUAUUUUACUUACUCCG
rnacentral:snRNA from 1 species